CAAUAGCGUAUAUUAAAGUUGUUGCAGUUAAAAAGCUCGUAGUUGGAUUUCUGGUCGGAGCGACCGGUCGGCGUCCUUUGUGGCGUGUGCACUGUUGUCGGCUCCGUCCAUCCUAGUGGGGAAGGCGCGUUGGCAUUCAUUUGUCGGCGCGUGGCCCCGCUACGUUUACUAGUGAAAAAUUAGAGUGUUUAAAAGCAGGCGUUUCGCUGUGAAUACAUUAGCAUGGAAUAAUGAGAUAGGACUUUGGUACUAUUUUGUUGGUUUGCGCACCAAGGUAAUGAUUAAUAGGGGAUAGUUGGGGGUAUUCAUAUUCAAUUGUCAGAGGUGAAAUUCUUGGAUUUAUGGAAGACGAACUGCUGCGAAAGCGUUUGAACAAGGACGUUCUCAUUAAUCAAGAACGAAA
rnacentral:rRNA from 1 species